CAAGGAGUAGUUUAAGUAGAAUUUCAGCUUUGGGUGCUGAAGGUGGGGCUAGUGCUUCCUCCUUGA
rnacentral:tRNA from 1 species